rnacentral:lncRNA from 1 species
UUAACUUUAUUUAGCGUUCACACCACCAGGUAAGUUAGUUUCAUUGUUGAUAAUUUGUAAAUUGUUGAAUUGAUCCCAUAAAUUGGAAUUGUAUGCAAUCUUAUAAACAAAGGUAAAGUACACUUUGUGACACGAGAAGCGUAAUCCAAAUGAAGAAGUAACUCGAACAAUUUCAUGAAUCCAAAUCAAAGAUUGGAAGAACAGAGAAAACUCUCAAUUUUAUUUAGGGUUAAUUUCACUGUGUCCCCC